UUCGUAGGCGGUGCGGCAAGUUGGGAGUGAAAUCUCUGGGCCUAACCCAGAGGCUGCUUCCAAAACUGCUGUGCUUGAGUGUGGGAGAGGCGCGUGGAAUUGCAGGUGUAGCGGUGAAAUGCGUAGAUAUCUGCAGGAACACCCGUGGCGAAAGCGGCGCGCUGGACCACAACUGACGCUGAGGAACGAAAGCUAGGGGAGCAAACAGGAUUAGAUACCCUGGUAGUCCUAGCCCUAAACGAUCAGGACUUGGGGUGCCGCCCGUUCGGGCGUCGUCCCGGAGCUAACGCGUUAAGUCCUGCACCUGGGGAGUACGGUCGCAAGACUGAA
rnacentral:rRNA from 1 species